rnacentral:rRNA from 1 species
GAUGAACGCUGGCGGCGUGCCUAAUACAUGCAAGUCGAGCGAACAGACGAGGAGCUUGCUCCUCUGACGUUAGCGGCGGACGGGUGAGUAACACGUGGAUAACCUACCUAUAAGACUGGGAUAACUUCGGGAAACCGGAGCUAAUACCGGAUAAUAUAUUGAACCGCAUGGUUCAAUAGUGAAAGACGGUUUUGCUGUCACUUAUAGAUGGAUCCGCGCCGCAUUAGCUAGUUGGUAAGGUAACGGCUUACCAAGGCAACGAUGCGUAGCCGACCUGAGAGGGUGAUCGGCCACACUGGAACUGAGACACGGUCCAGACUCCUACGGGAGGCAGCAGUAGGGAAUCUUCCGCAAUGGGCGAAAGCCUGACGGAGCAACGCCGCGUGAGUGAUGAAGGUCUUCGGAUCGUAAAACUCUGUUAUUAGGGAAGAACAAAUGUGUAAGUAACUAUGCACGUCUUGACGGUACCUAAUCAGAAAGCCACGGCUAACUACGU